rnacentral:rRNA from 1 species
UGGGCAACCUGCCCUUCUCAUCGGAAUAAGCGUUGGAAACGACGUCUAAUGCCGAAUACGACCUCCUUUCGCAUGAUCGGAGGUGGAAAGCUCCGGCGGAGAAGGAUGAGCUCGCGGCCUAUCAGCUAGUUGGUGUGGGUAAUGGCCCACCAAGGCGACGACGGGUAGCCGGCCUGAGAGGGUGACCGGCCACACUGGGACUGAGACACGGCCCAGACUCCUACGGGAGCAGCAGG